GUCCUUUUGUAUUUAAUUUAAGGUUUAACCUGCCCACUGAAAUUUUUUGAAGGGCCGCAGUAAUUUGACUGUGCAAAGGUAGCAUAAUCAUUAGUUUUUUAAUUGAAAGCUUGUAUGAAGGGUUGGACGAGGUAAAUUCUGUCUCUAUUUAAUUUUAUAUAGAAUUUAAUUUUUAAGUUAAAAAGCUUAAAUUUUUUUAAAAGACGAGAAGACCCUAUAGAUCUUUAUAUUAAAAAUAUUAAUUUUAAUUAAGAAUAUUUAAUUUUUUAGUAUUUAUAAUAUUUUAUUGGGGUAAUAAAAAGAUUAAAAUAAUUCUUUUUUUAUUUUAACAUUUAUUUAUGAUUAUAUGAUCCAAUUUUAUUGAUUAAAAGAUUAAGUUACCUUAGGGAUAACAGCGUAAUUUUUUUAGAGAGUUCAUAUCGAUAAAAAAGUUUGCGACCUCGAUGUUGGAUUAAAAAUUAUCUUAGGUGCAGAAGUUUAAGAUUUUGGUCUGUUCGACCAUUAAAUUUUU
rnacentral:rRNA from 1 species